rnacentral:rRNA from 1 species
UACGGAGGGGGCAAGCGCUCUUCGGAAUUACUGGGCGUAAAGCGCGCGUAGGCGGACCUGCAAGUCGGGGGUGAAAGCCCGAGGCUCAACCUCGGAACUGCCUUCGAUACUGCGGGUCUCGAGUCCGAGAGAGGUGAGUGGAAUUCCUAGUGUAGAGGUGAAAUUCGUAGAUAUUAGGAAGAACACCAGUGGCGAAGGCGGCUCACUGGCUCGGUACUGACGCUGAGGCGCGAAAGCGUGGGGAGCAAACAGG